AUUGAACGCUGGCGGCAGGCCUAACACAUGCAAGUCGAGCGGAUGAAGGGAGCUUGCUCCUGGAUUCAGCGGCGGACGGGUGAGUAAUGCCUAGGAAUCUGCCUGGUAGUGGGGGAUAACGUCCGGAAACGGGCGCUAAUACCGCAUACGUCCUGAGGGAGAAAGUGGGGGAUCUUCGGACCUCACGCUAUCAGAUGAGCCUAGGUCGGAUUAGCUAGUUGGUGGGGUAAAGGCCUACCAAGGCGACGAUCCGUAACUGGUCUGAGAGGAUGAUCAGUCACACUUGAACGGAGACACGGUCCAGACUCCCACGGGAGGCAGCAGUGGGGAAUAUUGGACAAUGGGCGAAAGCCUGAUCCAGCCAUGCCGCGUGUGUGAAGAAGGUCUUCGGAUUGUAAAGCACGUUAAGUUGGGAGGAAGGGCAGUAAGUUAAUACCGUGCUGUUUUGACGUUACCAACAGAAUAAGAACCGGCUAACUUCGUGC
rnacentral:rRNA from 1 species